GCUCCUGGGCCUGCUGCUCCCGCCCAUCCGGCGGAUGCGGCGCGCUGCUGCUGCCUUGGGCCUGCAGCUCCUGCCCAUCCGCCUGCGCCGCGCGCUUGCGCUUCUUCCUCGGCCUCUUGGGCUUGUACUGGCCGAACCUGGCCUCCAGCUCCUGGGGGCUCCACCGAUGCCCGAACGCUUCGAAUCUCCUGAGAAGGGGGAUUGAGAGCAGAACACAGGAGGGACGUAAACCAUGAUGAACGCAGCAGCGAUUGCCAUUGUUAGGGGGCGUUUGGAUGCCACGGGCUAAACUUUAGCCCUGUCACAUCACACGUUCGAAUGCUAAUUAGGAGGAUUAAAUAUGAGCUAAUUAUAAAACUAAUAGCAGAACCCCUAGGCUAAAUCGCGAGACGAAUCUAUUAAGCCUAAUUAAUCCAUCAUUAGCGAAUGGUUACUGUAGCACCACAUUAUCAAAUCAUGGACUAAUUAGGCUUAAUAGAUUCGUCUCGCGAUUUAGCCUAGGGGUUGUGCAAUUAGUUUUGUAAUUAGACUAUGUUUAAUACUCCUAAUUAGUGUCCAAACAUCCGAUGUGACAGGGGCUAAAAUUUAGCCCCUCCUGGCCAAACACCCCCGGAACGCGUACGUACCUGGAUAUUUCCUCCCAGAGUCCCACCUUGCCGAGCGCGUUGGCGAGCCGGAAAGUCUCGUCCAUGCUUCCUCUGAUGCUGUAGAACAGCUGCGUCUCU
rnacentral:lncRNA from 1 species